UACGAAGGGGGCUAGCGUUGUUCGGAAUUACUGGGCGUAAAGCGCGCGCAGGCGGUCUUCCAAGUCAGUGGUGAAAGCCCGGAGCUCAACUCCGGAACUGCCAUUGAAACUGUUAGACUUGAGGACGAGAGAGGUGAGUGGAAUUCCCAGUGUAGAGGUGAAAUUCGUAGAUAUUGGGAAGAACACCGGUGGCGAAGGCGGCGACCUGGUCCGUGACUGACGCUGAGGCGCGAAAGCGUGGGGAGCAAACAGG
rnacentral:rRNA from 1 species